GACGAAGGGGGCUAGCGUUGUUCGGAAUUACUGGGCGUAAAGCGCGUGUAGGCGGUUGUCCAAGUCGGGUGUGAAAGCCUUGAGCUCAACUCAAGAAAUGCACUCGGUACUGGGCGACUAGAGGACCGGAGAGGAUAGUGGAAUUCCCAGUGUAGUGGUGAAAUACGUAGAGAUUGGGAAGAACACCAGUGGCGAAGGCGGCUAUCUGGACGGUUUCUGAUGCUAAGACGCGAAAGCGUGGGGAGCAAACAGG
rnacentral:rRNA from 1 species